UACGGAGGGAGCUAGCGUUAUUCGGAAUUACUGGGCGUAAAGCGCACGUAGGCGGCUUUGUAAGUUAGAGGUGAAAGCCUGGAGCUCAACUCCAGAAUUGCCUUUAAGACUGCAUCGCUUGAAUCCAGGAGAGGUGAGUGGAAUUCCGAGUGUAGAGGUGAAAUUCGUAGAUAUUCGGAAGAACACCAGUGGCGAAGGCGACUCGCUGGACAAGUAUUGACGCUGAGGUGCGAAAGCGUGGGGAGCAAACAGG
rnacentral:rRNA from 1 species